UUCCGGUUGAUCCCGCCGGACCCGACUGCUAUCAGAGUGGGACUAAGCCAUGCGAGUCGACGUAGCAAUGCGUGGCGAACGGCUCAGUAACACGUAGUCAACAUGCCCAGGGGACGUGGAUAACCUCGGGAAACUGAGAAUAAACCACGAUAGGUCACGAUUUCUGGAAUGGAUCAUGGCCUAAAUCUGCAUGGCCCCUGGAUUGGACUGCGGCCGAUCAGGCAGUUGGUGAGGUAAUGGCCCACCAAACCUAUAACCGGUACGGGCUCUGAGAGGAGAAGCCCGGAGAUGGGCACUGAGACAAGGGCCCAGGCCCUAUGGGGCGCAGCAGGCGCGAAACCUCUGCAAUAGGCGAAAGCCUGACAGGGUUACUCUGAGUGAUUUCCGCUAAGGGGAUCUUUUGGCACCUCUAAAAAUGGUGCAGAAUAAGGGGUGGGCAAGUCUGGUGUCAGCCGCCGCGGUAAUACCAGCACCCCGAGUGGUCGGGACGAUUAUUGGGCCUAAAGCAUCCGUAGCCGGUUCUGCAAGUCUUCCGUUAAAUCCAGCCGCUCAACGGAUGGGCCGCGGAGGAUACUACAGGACUAGGAGGCGGGAGAGGCAAGCGGUACUCAGUGGGUAGGGGUAAAAUCCUUUGAUCCAUUGAAGACCACCAGUGGCGAAGGCGGCUUGCCAGAACGCGCUCGACGGUGAGGGAUGAAAGCUGGGGGAGCAAACCGGAUUAGAUACCCGGGUAGUCCCAG
rnacentral:rRNA from 1 species